CCCUUAGACGUUCUGGGCCGCACGCGCGCUACACUGACCAGUGCAACAAGCAUCCGUCCUUGGCCGACAGGCCCGGGCAAUCUUUGAACGCUGGUCGUGAUGGGGAUAGACUUUUGCAAUUUUUGGUCUUCAACGAGGAAUUCCUAGUAAACGCAAGUCAUCAACUUGCAUUGAUUACGUCCCUGCCCUUUGUACACACCGCCCGCCGCACCUACCGAUUGAAUGGUCCGGUGAAGCCUCCGGAUUGGCGCGCACCUCGGUGCCGCCGAGAAGUUGGCUAAACCUUACCAUUUAGAGGAAGGUGAANUCGUANCA
rnacentral:rRNA from 1 species